rnacentral:rRNA from 1 species
GCUGAAACUCGCCUACAUGAAGCUGGAGUUACUAGUAAUCGCAGAUCAGAAUGCUGCGGUGAAUGCGUUCCCGGGUCUUGUACACACCGCCCGUCACACCACGGGAGUUGGAGACGCCCGAAGCCGAUUAUCUAACCGUUUGGAAGAAGUCGUCGAAGGGGGAAUCAAUAACUGGGGUGAAGUCGUAACAAGGUAGCCGUAUCGGAAGGUGCGGCUGGAUCACCUCCUUUCUAAGGAGA